UGUUUGCUUAUUUAUUUAUCAUGCACCUGCUGAGAUUUAUCACUGUGUUAUGUACUCUCGUCCUCAGACACAAGGUCCAGCUUUUCUUCCAGAAGAGUUUACAGUGUAGGUGGGAGAGCACCUGACACCUCACCUGACACCUGACAGCAGUUCCAGAGGCUGCCCUGCUGAAGUUGGAUCCCUGACUGGCUACGCAACUCUGCCCCGUCCCUGUCCAGCCCUAGGCUCUACUUUCCUGACUCAGAGCAUUCGAUGCCUUGGUGGUUUGUAUAUAUUGAGAAUUUGAAUGUGUUGGAGCAGAAUAUUGUGGUGGGGACCAAACUCGACGGGGAAAACUGGGACGAGUUGAUAGGGAGGAGUUUUGUUGCCUUCGUACUAACCUGGACAUACUAAUCUGAGACGAGGCCUUGGGUGCUGGUAUGAAGGGAUCCAGGACACCAGAAUAAGGAAGUAGAGAAGUGGAACAGGGAAUGGUGGAAAGCCAGUGUAAAAGGCGGCCUCUGCCACAGGGAGAAUUCUCAGCAUUGUGUGACAAUGUAAGGAAUGCCAACAGAAAGAAUAACUACAUGAUCGAGAACAGGUGAUGAAUAUUCUUCCAAAAGAAGCCUUUGCAGAAUAUAUGACCUCUCUUUAAGCUUCUGCCUGGCUAAGACGCUACACCAUAUUUUUCUUCACAGAAUAGAUGUACACAUCUUCCUUCCAGAAGGACUUGAGUGAAGAGCAACACCAGAUGAAAAGAAUGGACUAUGUUGCGGUUGAUUCGGUGGACUCAGCAGAAGGUGAUGAAAACACUGAAAUGGCAGCAGAGGUCCAGAAACAGCAAUCUACAACACUCCAUGUAACUAUCUCUAUUGAGUUGUUACUUAAUACAAACUGAUGAAUGAUCUUGGUAAUUACUAUAAAACUGUGAUCUUCAAGUGUGAAAAUAUGUAUUGUGGAUGACAAAGGUACACUUAGUUCAUUCUUUUGUAGCCACUGAAAUCUUAAAUAAAAUUAAUUUCUGCACUGAA